rnacentral:rRNA from 1 species
CCUACGGGAGGCUGCAGUGGGGAAUAUUGGACAAUGGGGGGAACCCUGAUCCAGCCAUGCCGCGUGUGUGAAGAAGGCCCUCGGGUUGUAAAGCACUUUCAGUGAGGAAGAACGCCUGGUGGUUAAUACCCAUCAGGAAAGACAUCACUCACAGAAGAAGCACCGGCUAACUCCGUGCCAGCAGCCGCGGUAAUACGGAGGGUGCGAGCGUUAAUCGGAAUUACUGGGCGUAAAGCGCGCGUAGGUGGCUUGAUAAGCCGGUUGUGAAAGCCCCGGGCUCAACCUGGGAACGGCAUCCGGAACUGUCAAGCUAGAGUGCAGGAGAGGAAGGUAGAAUUCCCGGUGUAGCGGUGAAAUGCGUAGAGAUCGGGAGGAAUACCAGUGGCGAAGGCGGCCUUCUGGACUGACACUGACACUGAGGUGCGAAAGCGUGGGUAGCAAACAGGAUUAGAAACCCCAGUAGUC